UACGUAGGGGGCAAGCGUUGUCCGGAUUCAUUGGGCGUAAAGAGCGUGUAGGCGGUCAGGUAGGUCGGUUGUGAAAACUGGAGGCUCAACCUUCAGAGGUCGACCGAAACCAUCUGGCUAGAGUCCGGGAGAGGAGAGUGGAAUUCCUGGUGUAGCGGUGAAAUGCGCAGAUAUCAGGAAGAACACCCGUGGCGAAGGCGGCUCUCUGGAACGGUACUGACGCUGAGACGCGAAAGCGUGGGGAGCGAACAGG
rnacentral:rRNA from 1 species